UGGGGAAUAUUGGACAAUGGGGGGAACCCUUAUCCAGCCAUGCCGCGUGUUUGAAGAAGUCCUUAUGGUUGUAAAGCACUUUAAGCGAGGAGGAGGGUACUGGUAUUAAUACUACCAGGUACUGGACGUUACUCGCAGAAUAAGCACCGUCUAACUCUGUGCCAGCAUCCGCGGUAAUACAGAGGGUGCGAGCGUUAAUCGGAUUUACUGGGCGUAAAGCGUUCGUAGGCGGCUAAUUGAGUCGGAUGUGAAAUCCCCGAGCUUAACUUGGGAAUUGCAUUCGAUACUGGUUAGCUAGAGUGUGGGAGAGGAUGGUAGAAUUCCAGGUGUAGAGGUGAAAUGCGUAGAGAUCUGGAGGAAUACCGAUGGCGAAGGCAGCCAUCUGGCCUAACACUGACGCUGAGGUACGAAAGAAUGGGGAGCAAACAGG
rnacentral:rRNA from 1 species